GCGAUUGGGCAAGUCUUGAUAGGCUUUCCGCCAAUCCUCGAUCGACCAUCCCUUGGCAUGAAGGAUGCUCUCAACCAAUAACAUGUCGGAAAUGGCAUCACCCACAGUCUGAAACGCCAAUCAAACCUUUUAAAUCUGAUUUCUGCAACCCUAAUAACCAUACGACGAGCCAAAAAUGCCUUACCAAUUUCUGGGUGAUAUAAUUGGUAGAACUUCCAUUGGCAUAAGCUGUCUGAACAAUACCCAUAUUCAGGGACACUUUUGCUUGGUCCAACAACUCCUUGAGGAACUCGGCCACUGAAAAGAUUCCAAGUCACAACUCAGGAUUAGGACCAUUGUCCAGGUUUCAUCUCCUCGCAUACACACCUAAAGUGGCGAUCCGAUCUCCAUCCAACAUGGCGAAUUGUCCGGAUUCCUUAUCAUUGUAAAAAUACAUGACUCGAUCCGCAUCACCAUCCACCGACACACAUCGCUCCCCCCGGGUCUUCUCCAGACCUUUGGGCGAUGUCUGUUGAACCUUGACGAAAUCCGCGCCACAAUCCCCAUUGAGCACAUCUCCGGGUUGAGUGCCGUCAUUGACAAUCUCCAUUUGGAUCGAAUCUCCCAAGAAGGUAAGAAACUCCUUCAUCUUUUGGGCUCCCACUCCAUUGGCGCCAUCAAACAUCAGUUUUGGUGAAUACCUUCCGUUCACCGGGUUCUAAAAUCAAUCGUACUUUGGCAUGUUUCGGGUAAACUUGAAACCUUACAUUUAGGUCAGUGUCUUACACUGCCUCGGAAAGCCUUGAAGGCUUGGCUAAUCUUAGAAUAGUAGCCCUUGGCUGAGGCUUCUCCAUACUGGCCAUGGGUGUUUUGACACACCACCAAAUAGUGCAAUUGAGGAGUGGACACAAUCCCGGCAUCAAUUACGGCCCCCUCCACGGCCUU